CCUGGCGGCCAUAGCGAGUGGGAACCACCCGACCCCAUUCCGAACUCGGAAGUGAAACCGCUCAGCGCCGAUGGUAGUGCGGGGGAAUCUCCGUGCGAGAGUAGGUCACCGCCAGGC
rnacentral:rRNA from 2 species